CCUACGGGCGGCAGCAGUGGGGAAUAUUGCACAAUGGGGGAAACCCUGAUGCAGCAACGCCGCGUGAGUGAAGCAGUAUUUCGGUAUGUAAAGCUCUAUCAGCAGGGAAGAAGAUGACGGUACCUGAGUAAGAAGCCCCGGCUAACUACGUGCCAGCAGCCGCGGUAAUACGUAGGGGGCAAGCGUUAUCCGGCUUUACUGGGUCGAAAGGGGGCGCCGACGGUGAGACAAGUCUGAAGGUGAAGCCCGGGGCUCAACCCCGGGACUGCUUUGGAAACUGACUGACUGGAGUGCUGGAGAGGCAAGCGGAAUGCCUAGUGUAGCGGUGAAAUGCGUAGAUAUUAGGAAGAACACCAGUUGCGAAGGCGGCUUGCUGGACAGUAACUGACGUUGAGGCUCGAAAGCGUGGGGAGCAAACAGGAUUAGAUACCCUUGUAGUC
rnacentral:rRNA from 1 species